ensembl:lncRNA
AACUCUAUAAAACUGCUCCAUUGACAUUACAGAACUGUAUACAAUCUUAGAAUCAUAGAAUUACUCAGGUUGAAAAGGACCUCAAAGAUCAUCAAGUCCAACCGCAGCUUAACCAUAGUACCCUAACUCUAACAACCCUCUGUUUAAUCAUAUCUCUGAGCACCACAUCCAAACGGCUCUUAAACACAUCCAGGGACGGUGACUCAACCACCUCCCUGGGGAGCCUAUUCCAGUGUUUAACCACCGUUUCUGUAAAGAAGUGUUUCCUAACGUCCAACCUAAACUUACCUUGGCGCAACUUGAGGCCAUUUCCCCUCAUUUUGUCACCUGUCACCAGUGAGAAGAGACCUACCCCACUCUCACUGCAAGCACCUUUCAGGUUCCAGAAGAGAGUAAUAAGAUCUCCCCUCAGUCUCCUCCUCCCCAGACUAAACAGCCCCAGCUCCCUCAGUCUCUCCUCAAAGGGCAUAUUCUCCAAGGCCAUUACAAGCCUAGUUGCCCUUCUUUGGACCUGCUCCAGCACCUCCAUAUCCUUCUUGUACUGAGGUGCCCAAAACUGAACACAGUACUCGAGGUGAGGCCUCACCAGUGUCGAGUACAGGAGCAGGAUUACUUCCCUAGUCCUGCUCACCACACCAUUCCUGAUACAAGCCAGGAUGCCAUUGGCCUUCUUGGCCACCUGGGCACACUGCUGGCUCGUAUUCAGCCGACUGUCCAACAGUACACCAAGGUCCCUUUCCAUCAGGCAGCUUUCCAGCCACACCUCCUCAAGCCUGUAGGGUUGCCUGGGGUUACUGUGACCAAAAUGCAGGAUCCGACAGCCCUAUUGAAACUCAUGUGGUUAAUCUUGGCACAUCAAUCCAGUCUAUCCAGGUCCCUCUGUAGUGCCCUUCUCCCCUCAGGCAGAUCAACAUUCCCUCCCAGCUUGGUGUUGUCUGCAAACUUACUGAUGGUGCACUCAAUCCUCUCAUCAAGAUCAUCAAUGAAAAUGUCAAACAGAAGCGGCCCCAGCACUGAGUCCUGGGGGACACCACUCGUGACCGGCCGCCAACUGGAUUCAGAUC